rnacentral:rRNA from 1 species
CAGUAGCCACGGUAAUACGUAGGUGGCAAGCGUUGUCCGGAAUUAUUGGGCGUAAAGGGCUCGCAGGCGGUUUCUUAAGUCUGAUGUGAAAGCCCCCGGCUCAACCGGGGAGGGUCAUUGGAAACUGGGAAACUUGAGUGCAGAAGAGGAGAGUGGAAUUCCACGCGUAGCGGUGAAAUGCGUAGAGAUGUGGAGGAACACCAGUGGCGAAGGCGACUCUCUGGUCUGUAACCGACGCUGAGGAGCGAAAGCGUGGGGAGCGAACAGGAUUAGAUACCCCAGUAGUCCCUGUCUCUUAUAA